UAUGGUAAUUGUGUGCCGCCGCGGUAAUACGUAGGCGGCAAGCGUUGUCCGGAAUUAUUGGGCGUAAAGGGAGCGCAGGCGGGAAACUAAGCGGAUCUUAAAAGUGCGGGGCUCAACCCCGUGAUGGGGUCCGAACUGGUUUUCUUGAGUGCAGGAGAGGAAAGCGGAAUUCCCAGUGUAGCGGUGAAAUGCGUAGAUAUUGGGAAGAACACCAGUGGCGAAGGCGGCUUGCUGGACGAUGACUGACGUUGAGGCUCGAAAGCGUGGGGAGCAAACAGG
rnacentral:rRNA from 1 species